UACGGAGGAUUCAAGCGUUAUCCGGAUUUAUUGGGUUUAAAGGGUGCGUAGGCGGCGAGUUAAGUCAGCGGUAAAAGCCCGGGGCUCAACCCCGGCCCGCCGUUGAAACUGGCGGCCUCGAGUGGGCGAGAAGUAUGCGGAAUGCGUGGUGUAGCGGUGAAAUGCAUAGAUAUCACGCAGAACCCCGAUUGCGAAGGCAGCAUACCGGCGCCCUACUGACGCUGAGGCACGAAAGUGCGGGUAUCGAACAGG
rnacentral:rRNA from 1 species